rnacentral:rRNA from 1 species
GCACGAACUUAGCCCGUCCUUCCUCUGAGGCUAUGUCAAACAGAUGGGAGAACCCACCUGCAUUUCAUCCCCUCGGACAGCGGUUUACAACCCGAAGGCCUUCAUCCCGCACGCGGCGUCGCUCGGUCAGGCUUGCGCCCAUUGCCGAAGAUUCUCGACUGCAGCCACCCGUAGGUGUCUGGGCAGUGUCUCAGUCCCAAUGACGCGGGUCGUGCUCUCACACCCGCUACCCAUCAUCGCCUUGGUAGGCCGUUACCCUGCCAACUAGCUAAUAGGAUGUAGACUCAUCCUCAGGCGGAAUCACACCUUUGCUCUCCCGAGGUCAUCCGGUAUUACCCCGCCUCUCGGCGGGCUAUCCCGGACCUGGGGGUAGGUACCUACGCCUUACUGCCCCUUACGCCGGUUCCCCCCAUUGCUGGGGAUUCCCGCGACUUGCAUGCCUCAUCCACGCCGCCAACGUUCGUU